AUGGCUCAGCCGUCGCUGCUCCUCGGCUCUCCGGCAUCGAUCGUCCUCCUCCUUCUCUCCUUCUUCCAAGGGCCGGUAGUGAGCGCCAUCACGUUCACCUUCGCCAACCGGUGCACGGACACGGUGUGGCCCGGGCUGCUCUCGGGCUCCACCUCGCCGCCGCUGGAAACCACCGGCUUCGCGCUCUCGCCGGGCCAGUCGCGCUCAAUCUACGGGCCCACCGGGUGGUCGGGCCGCUUCUGGGCGCGCUCUGGCUGUAAUUUCAACGGCGGCAAGGGCACCUGCGUCACGGGGGACUGCGGCUCCGGCGAGAUAGAGUGCCGCGGCGCCGGGGCCACCCCGCCCGCCACGCUCGCGGAGUUCACCCUCGACGGCGACGGCGGGAAGGACUUCUACGACGUCAGCCUCGUCGACGGCUACAACCUGCCCAUGCUGGUGCAGCCGUCCGCGCCUGGGUGCCCCGACACCGGGUGCCUCGUCGACCUCAACGAGCGCUGCCCCUCGGAGCUCCGCUCCGGCGGCGGCCUCGCCUGCCGCAGCGCCUGCGAGGCCUUCGGCAAGCCCGAGUUCUGCUGCAACGGCGCCUACGGGAACCCUGACACGUGCCACCCCUCCCAGUACUCGCAGCUCUUCAAGUCGGCGUGCCCCAAGUCCUACAGCUACGCCUACGACGACGCCACCUCCACCUUCACCUGCAACCACACCGAUUACACCAUUACCUUCUGCCCGCAGUCCAAUCCUUACAGUGGCAAAACGAACAAGCACGCAUUGCGGAGGCCGAGCCAUGAGCAGCUUGAAGACGACGUGUGGCUGGCAUCUUUGAAGAAAACCAGCGGCGCCCGUGGAAGCACCAUGGCAUCGUGGUCGGCGUCCGGAGGUUUUCAAGCCGCCCUGGCAAUUGCUGUGGUGGUUGUGCUUGCCGCGGCACAGGGGGGUCAUCCCCGUUUCAGAUGA
rnacentral:rRNA from 1 species